AUAAAAGAGCUGAGUGGACCGGCGACUUUAGUACCAUCGCCGGCUCUACCAGUUCGCACUGCUGUUUCGUCAAAUACUUCAGCGAUCUUUGCAGUUCAAGACAUGGACAGCAUCUUUGCCAAGUACUUCCUUGUGGGGCUUGCUGCUGCGCUUGUUACGCUGAUCAUUGCACCGAACAAUGCCGGUGCCCUUCCUCCUGGAGUAGUCGAAACUGCCGCUAAUGCACUUUCACAGGCAUUUGGAAGAACCGAGGAAAGUGCGGAAGAAUGAAACUUUUAUCUGCGUUAUGCCUUGCGCUGGUCAUACGUUGCAUUGUACAUUGUAUGCAGCUUCUUUGAAAUAAAUAAAAUCAAUAAAUCAGAGAA